ACGCCGUGGCUUCACCCGUAGCGUCGGGGAGCGCAGCCUCCUACCUUUCCUCCUCGCUCGAGUGUCGGUGCUGAGAGGCGGCUGCCAGCGGGAUGGAGAGAAGUAGGAUGAACCUGCCCAAGGGGCCGGACAUGCUCUGCUUCGACAAGGACGAGUUCAUGAAGAGAUCACAAGUAGGAAGAGAGGCAGGCAGAGAGAGAGGAGGAAACAGGCUCCCUGCUGAGGAGAGAGCCUGAUGUGGGGCUCGAUCCCAGGACCCUGGAAUCAUGACCUGAGCCGAAGGCAGAGGCCUUAACUCACUGAGCUACCCAGGAAGAUUUCGACGUCGAUCACUUUGUGUCUGACUGUAGGAAGCGUGUCCAGCUGGAGGAACUAAGAGGAGAUCUGGAACUCUACUAUAAACUUCUUAAAAUAGCCAUGGUCGAGCUCAUCAACAAGGAUUAUGCAGAUUUUGUCCACCUUUCCACAAACUUGGUUGGCAUGGACAAAGCCCUCAAUCAACUUUCUGUGCCUUUGGGACAGUUACGAGAAGUUCUGAGUCUCAGGUCAUCUGUCAGUGAAGGAAUUCGGGCAGUAGAUGAACGAAUGUGUAAACAAGAGGACAUAAGGAAGAAAAAGAUGUGUGUGUUGAGGCUUAUACAAGUUAUUUGAUCAGUUGAAAAGAUUGAAAAAAUCUUAAAUUCACAAAGUUCUAAAGAAACCUCUGCACUAGAAGCAAGCAGCCCGUGUGUCUCCAGCGGCUCUGCUUCACUGCGGCACUUGGCAGUGCCUGCAGCCCCUCCAGCCAUGUCCACGUUCGGCCCCUGGGGAGCUGGCCCUCCAGUGUUCUUCCCAUCUUUGCUGUUGCUGCUGUGCUCCUCGGAUAGAAACACCUCAGUGAGCUCUGUGUCUACAAUCCUGUCCCUUUGCAACACUGUCCUCGAUAAACAGACAUUGUGCGCUUUCUUGCUCAGAAUUACCUUGGAGGACUUUUUUCUCCAGAAGAGCAGCUCUGAGCUCUGGAGUGAGGAAAGCCAGAGCAGCGUCAGCGCACGGUAAAUCCAUCAUGCUCUGCCAGGCCCAGAAAUGCCGAGAUAAGGAUAAAUAGGACAUGCGCAUGGGAUCAGUCAGUAGAGGUUGGGAUUAGGCUUCAGUGUUGGUCAUGUGGAGCGCUUGCCUUCCCUCCACACCAGUUCUGAUGCUCUGGGACGGGGCACAUCGUGGCAGGUCUCCAGACAUUUUGGGUUUCCUUACAGUGUGUUUCCUCACUACCUGACUGCCCAUCCUCAGAUGUGGGAUGCCUCAUAGAGCCCAGCAGGGGCUUUGGGGCCUUUGUUGUGUUUUGUUUUGUUUUUUUUUUCUUUCACUGUUCAGCUUCCUUUUGAAUGGGGUUGACGAUUUCUAAUGUGGGGGGCAAGAGGGAAGUGUAUCCAGUCCACUUGAUGGCAGAUGCACUGUGAGUGAUUUCUCACCAGCUCCCGGACCCACCGAGCUUGCUCUUUCUGCCGUUGGGUAAAUGUAAACUUGGAUUCCGCUGCUCUGAGCGAUUUCCCAGGUUACUGCUAGGCGGUCAGUUUUAGCUGAUCGAGGAGACAGCAGUAGUUGGUACUGGGGAGGUACUUGGGAGGGAGAAUGAGGCAGGCGGAGAAGAAGAGGGGGAUUCGGGUAUGAACAGUAGGACAGGGCAAGAGAGAGGAGGGGGUUAGAGAAUGGGAGAAGAAGGGAGAAGAAGGGUACGAAUGGGAGAGCCCGAGGAACGUGGUGGAAACAUGCAUUUGUACCCACACUGACCUAAAAUAGCUCCAUCCCCUUGCCUGGGCCCUGUGGCCCGGGCCAGGCUGCGUCGGUGGCUUCUACGACCUUCCCGAUCCUCACCCCUUGCACCUGGGGCCUGCUGCACAGACAGUUUGUCCUGAAAAUUGAUGGCGUGCAGGUGCAGGUGCCUGAGAGCUGUAAAGCAUGGGGGGCGGUGGGGGUGGUAGGUUUUAACUUUCGGAAUUGCACUUCUCUAAUUGUCUCUACUAGCCCUCUCUGGACUAGAGAGAUUUUGGAGAGAAUUGCCACAGAAUUUAACCAGUUACAGUUUCAUACUGUUCAGAGCAAAGACAUGCCUCCUGGACAAAGUAAGACCACGUAUAGCCCACAUUACAGCCAUGCUGCAGCAGUCCCUGGGAGGCCUGCUGCUAGAAGGGCUUCAGACUUCCAAUGUGGACAUCAUAUGGCACUGCCUUCGGACUUACGCUACAAUUGACAAGACACGGGAUGUAGAGGCGUUAGUCGGUCAAGUACUGGUGAAACCGUACAUGGAUGAGGUUUGUGCCCCCAUGCACCUCAUUCCGCAAACAGAGUAUCUAAUCUGGCUUCGUUUCUUGACUGGGUGCGAGAGAGCUCAGGGCUCUUCCUUGAAGAUGCUCCUAGUUCCUGCUCUUCUGGUUGUAAGAAAAGGUUGCUCCCGCUUGGUGCCCCUCAGCAUGGCAGGAAUCAGGCAUGCGCUCUGGUCUCUUCCAGUGAUGCCAUAGCUCAGGGAUCAUCUUAAUUUAGUAGGGGUGAGGGACUUGCCUAGGAAGAAGGUACGGAUCAGAACAUUUUCAGGUCAAUUUCCAUUUCCCUAAGUUAUAUGUUAAUGAAGUUGCCGAAAAGCGUGACCCCACCAAGGCGCCUGUGCCCACUGGAGGAGCUGGAAGACAGCUCUGUGCGCAGGGAAAGUCCGUGAGGGGAGGCGUCUUCGCAGAAUUGAUGUGACCUAAGUCUUGAAGACCAUGGGGGAGUUUGCCAGGCUAGGAAGGUGGGAGGGAGGGAAUAUUCAAAGAUAAAGGGCUUUUAAGGGCGAGUUAGCGGGGUAGUACCUUAAGUCUGGAACUUGGUUACCCAGUGUUCUUGACCUAUGAGGAUACAGUUAAAUACAGGGAGUCAGUGUAUCCUGCCUCUGAGCAGCCGGAGUAUGGGCUGCACCGUGUGAGGCUGCCAGCAAUCAGCAGCUUCCCAUUUAGAGAGCAUUGGUUUCAUCUAGUUCAGGCUGACAGAAGUCAUGAAGCCAGUCUCAGCGUUUGAGGGCUUUCUUCCAGUCACCUGCCAGUGCGAGUGUUCUUUCUGUCCGGUAAGUAUAAAGCUACCCACCAUGACUUCAGGAUGAAAGGCUUCCAGUUUUAAAACGGGACAGUAUCCCAGUGAUAGAAGUGAAAUUGAAGGAUUAAUUUCAGUAAUCUUCUCAGCUUCAUUAGGACUACUAAAAGUAAAUGAUCUGUCAGUUCUUUGUAUGUAUCCUAUUAUAUAGUUCAUAGCUCUCUCUGUGGGGGUGAAAAAGAUCACAUUAUUCUUUGUCACUAAAUGAAAAUAUUUUAGUUAUUUAAUUUAUGCCCUUUUCAUUGAACUGAAUCUAAUAUGCUAAAUUAGGGAAGUACUUUACGUUUCCGUGUCAUUAAAUGAACUGUGGCCACGUUUGUAAUUUAAGUUUGUAUGCUUGUCAUUCACCUCCUGCAACUCAGCCUCUCCAAAAAAAAAAAAAAAAAAUACUAAAGCAAAAUACGAUGUGUUUUCUUCCAUCACUUUCCAUCUCAGCCCUUUCCCUGUUCUGGAGAUGGUAUAGGAUAAGGCCAGGGUGAAGAUGGUACAGAGCUGUUGUCUGCAGAUACAGUAUUUCGCUUUUAAGCUCAGAAGGGAAGCAGAUGAGUGUGUGUGAUGUUUUAGCUUCAGGCCGUCUCUGUCCCUCAGCCUCUGUGUCCCCCAGGGUUGGAGCAGUAUUCCCAAAUCCCGGGACCUAGAUUUUUGUGCCGUUGUUAAUUACCUCCUGUUUAGAAAGCAUACUGAGUGGGGAGGAGGAAGGACGAAGUGCAUUUUUAAGGUUUACUCGAUUCUUUUCUCUGUAGUGUAUAGUUCAUACUUCUCUUUUAGGUGCUUUAAAAACAAACAAAACACAAACAAACAAACAAACAAAUAAAUAAAUAAAUAAAAAUAAAACGCUCUUCCUUCUGCUCGGUGAUUGUAGUGCAGAUUGUUGAGUCUCAUCCGGAUGGCCUGAAGAUCAUGUAUGCUAAUAAGCUCCUGGAGUUCGUUCCUCACCACUGCCGCCUUCUUCGAGAGGUCACAGGAGGAGCCAUCUCAAGGUGACGUAAACUGCUGUGUAUGCACCUGAGCUCAGUUUAGUGACCACCUGUCACCUCCUCAUGUGCCGCUGAUCCCUGGCUGUCCUGUCUGACCCAGGAACAUGUGCUCUUCCCUAUUUGUUACCAGUGCUGUGAGGCAGGUGUCGCUUGCCUGGGUUUACAGGGAAGGGAAUGAAGAGUGGGGACGAAUCUCAACGGUGACAUUUGUGUGACUCCAGAGCCUCUGCUUUUCUCUUGUCUAUACUUUCUCCUUAACCAGGUUCAAAAUCAAAAUUGGUUUCCUUCCAUUAUUGUGAUGUCAUCAUCGGUCUAGAAAUACCAAUUCAUUUUAAUUCAACAUGUUUUAUACUGAUGGCAAUUAAAGUCAUGUUCGGUUUUCCCUCCCUCUCUUA